ACAGCUGAAACGAGUCGUUAGUAAUUCCAGACUUUACUUCCUGUACUAACCUACGUAGGUUUGUAACAAAACCUCCCGCUUCUGGUCUUUUUUUUCCGAAGGAGCUGAAACGCGUUACGGUAGUGGGAGUUUCCUUUUUGACACACGCUGACAGUGGUAGACCAGUCACAACAAACUGGGACAUUUGACCAAUCAGAGCAGAGUAUGCUCUCUGAAAGGAGGAGUUUAGAAUGAAUCCUUUAGAACAGAACAUUGAACGAGUCGUUUGUGACACUGGCGGAAAAAAGUGUUGUGUGGAGCCGCUGAUGGUGUGUGUUCAUUCCAAAGAGGAAAAUCAGGAAAGCUUAUGGGAGCAGACACAGGAUCAGCCGAACACUCCGUCUAGACGAAGAUACUGCACCUGCAUUCCUCAGCCUGCGACUCAUAGCAGCUUACUUAAUGCCACUGUUGAGAAACACUCGUGGGCACAAAGAGGACCGGCAGGCCACAACACACACACACACACACACACACACACACACGCACACACUUUUGCUAUCCUUGUAAGGAACAUCCACUGCCAUGAUUACUUUAUAAACAAAAGGUUACAUUUUUUCUCUAUUAUUAUAAUUGUUAUUAAUACUA